ensembl:lncRNA
CAAGUGUGAGUGGGUCUGAGGCUUGUCUCCCAACUCCCUCUCUUGGCACCCUGCAAUAAAGCCUCACUUUGCUGCCAACACCCGCUGUCAGAGUUGGACUUCCUGUGCUGUGGAUACAUGCGAGCCCUUUUUGCUUGGUUACAGAAGUAUGGACCCAUUCUCCUGGGUGGAGAUGAACAGGAGAGGUGCUGGGGAGAAGAGGGCAGCAGGUGGCCUGGUGAGCUGGGCAAGAGAUGGAUUGAAUGUCUACUCAACAAUGGAUUCUGUCUGGCUGCUGCUCCACCAGGGAGGAAGAAAACCAACUGCUCCCCGUCUGAAACCCUCAUCGUCCAGUGGGGAGAGAGACAAAGCAAGGAGACACCACGAGAGUGGGAAUUGCUUUAGAGUCUGCAUGGGGUAGGGGACACGGAAGAAGUGGAGCUGCGGAAGCUCGCACUUUCUUUAUUCUCAUUUUAAUUGCAGAGCAAGUUUACAUGGUUGAGAUCAAGCUGUAUAAUUUUAUAACCUGCUAUUUUCAUUUGGCGUUAGUCAUAAAUGUUUUCUCCAUGUGAUUAUUAAACUCUUUAUAAAUAUUUUCAAUGGCUGCAGCAUAUUUUCAGCAGAGCAACACCAUAAUUUAAUUAGGCUUAGAC